rnacentral:lncRNA from 1 species
CAAUGGAGGCACAUUGUCUCAGGAGUGUUUGUUUAUAGCCUUCAGAAGUCUUUCCUGCUAGCUCUGUCCAACAAAUGAUACAAUCAUUAGUCUAAGUAUAUCUUUUCUGUAACUCCAUUAGUUUAAGUAUUGGGACAGGCAUUUUUUGCCCAAAGUAGCAAGAGGAUAAACACUUGGAUCAAGGAAACAAAGAGGGCAUUGCAACAGAUAGAAAGAGCAAUAAUCUACUCCAGGGAAUAGAUAAAUAACCGAGUGGUAGCUAAAAGAAUGGCAAGCACAAAAGAUUGUCGGCAUAUCAUAGGUUUUUUUGUCCUUUACUGAACCAUUUGUUUAUAAUUUGCAGGAUCGUGUGAUUAGAUUCCCUAAUGUAGGUGGAGAAAUUUGGACCACCCCAGUUUUAUAGUUUGAUUCUCAUGCAGCAGGUAGCGUUUGCAUCAUUAAACUAUUAUAGAGCCUUAUCUUUGCUGAUAAUUCCCUUCAGUUUUCUAAUGGGAAAGGAGAGAGGCAGCUUUCUUAAGCAUGGGCCUCAACAAGCUGGGCCACACUUGUACAAUAAUGUACUAUGCAUUACCCAGAAAUCUAUCAAUUCUGUCUUCCUUUCGGUUGAAACCUUACCAGCCUACCAGCAUAAAUCAAAUAUCUAGCUCAGAUUUAGAAUGAACCUGUCAAGCAAAGGUAAGAACAAAUAGAACUUCAUAUUAGGUAUUCCGUAACUGUAACAACGAAAAAUACCUCUUUUUCAAGCGUUUUUGCGGUUGAUUGGGUUUGACAAAAGAAGAGACAAUAAUAAUGUAAUGUGCCCUGUGUUAAUGAACUCAAGAAAUGCUUAGCAGAUCUGGCAGUGGUACCGCUUCGCUACCACAGUGCUGAUAUUACCCUUGUCGAGCAAAUCAUUGAAAAUCCUUGUCCAUCUUCCACUACCAAGCAAUGCGCCCUAGUGUGAGGCUGAUGUCAAUCUCCUUGAAGACACUUCACCCCUUCAGGGUAGCAUGCACGACUUUAUGUGCUAUGAUUUUGUCCCUUGAUGAGAGAUGGUGAUUUCGGACAUGCAAAAGGGGCAACUCAAUUAAUCCACUGUGAUUUUAGUUGUCCCUGUCUGAUUACUAUUCAUAUUCAGUUAUGUGCCUGCAGUUUGAACUCAAUUAAAAAUACUAUAAUGUUGUUACCUUACUCAGGGGACUGCUAGUUCCAGAUUGGCACAUGAAAAUAUUCGAAAAAAGGGAUUGGCAUAAUACCUAAGUCAGCAGUGAGAACAGGAAGAUGUUAUUUGAUAUUCGGAAUGGUACUGUUUUAGCACCGCUUCUGAUUAAGCAUAAUUAAAUAAGAAGAGAAAGUGCUUGCUAAAGCAGCAUAAACAAUGUUAAACUCAUAAUGGCAAUAGAAUUUAAUGUAUUAAUAACAACGUGAGGGUAGAAGCUGAAGACCAUAAGUGUGGAAUCUGCAACCCAAAAUGAACUUGUCCAGGAGCAAGUCAUAAGAACACAAAUGAUGAUAAUCAUGUAUGGGAGGUAGCAUUCCCUAGAAGAAAAGUUCCAUAGCGCAAAUGAAAAGAAAGAAAAAGAAGGGUCUUUCCAGAGGAAAGCUACCUUUCAGUAUUCAAACACUAAUGAUUUGAGGUGAGCUUCAUCUAGAAAAGGAGGACAAUAGAACUGUUUAAGUCUUGUACUUAAAGAUUGUUGGGAUCACACAGAUCAUACAACAUCCUGAACUGAAAGGGAGUGGUCACACUUCCAGCAAGUAUGCUUUUAUCACUUCAUGUUACUUUCAAUCAAGAACAAGACAUAAAACUGCGCUCAUCAUACAGUUCAAGCAUGGUGUCACAAGGAGCACGGGCGAGCAAGACACUAGUCCAAGUUACUAAGCAGUGUAGAUAGAAUAGACAUCUGAAUCCUGGUUCCUGUUGAAAUCUUGGAGGUGAGGUGGACGGCCAUAAUGCCACUGAACAUGGGUGGGUUAACAUAAUGAAGCAUAUUUAGGCCAUGUUUGGAAAAGUGGUUGCAAACCGCAAAAUCCUGAAAAUCCCUAGAACAUCAACCUUCCAAACAGGCCCUUACGCUGCCAUUCCUGCCCAGCGAGGAAAUACGUCGAACGGAUGCAGUGCACCACGGAAGCCUAAACAGACAAUGGACGAGGGAGCAAUCAUUACAAUUACAUACCAGCGCCAAUGUUCUCCCUCGGCUGCGUUGAAUGAACCCGUGAAGCAGCUCGGUCGGCGUGAAUGGCGAGGCGUCGAUGCGGAAGCGCGGACUCACCCUUCCUUCCGGGCCUCCGGCGCUGCCUGCCCCGUCAGCAAGUGAGGACAUGCUGGUCUUGAAUUCUCGAUGACGAUCGGUGGGCUGAACGAAGGCUAAAUGAAGAAUGCCUCUUCUAGAAUGUAGCCACUGGGUUCGGCGGCUUGACAAUGACAUUGCCCAGUGUUUAAAUUUACUCUUUUAUUAACUACCUUUGAAACCGAUGUUUAAUUCGGAUCACACAUGGCCCCUCGCAAGCAUGAGUGAUGAGACCCCUGCAAAGUUUCGAGCAGUGAGCACCGUCAGCAGCAGCAUCACUGCUCUGCUUUUAGAAAUCUUUGGAAGAGAGGCUUGGAGGGCUCAGGAAAAGGGUGGUAAUGGUUAAUGCCUGCA